rnacentral:rRNA from 1 species
UACAGAGGGUGCAAGCGUUAAUCGAAAUUACUGGGCGUAAAGGGCGCGUAGGCGGUCGUGACAAGUCACUUGUGAAAUCUCCGGGCUUAACUCGGAACGGUCAAGUGAUACUGUCGGACUAGAGUACAGAAGGGGCAACUGGAAUUCUCGGUGUAGCGGUGAAAUGCGUAGAUAUCGAGAGGAACACCUGCGGCGAAGGCGGGUUGCUGGGCUGAUACUGACGCUGAGGCGCGAAAGCCAGGGGAGCGAACGGG